AGCUCAGUUGAUAGAGUGCUUGCCUUGCAUGCAAUAAGGCCCUGGGUUCAAUCCCCAG
rnacentral:tRNA from 1 species